rnacentral:lncRNA from 10 species
CCGGGCUGGAUCGCGGACUUUUAUUUAAAAAUAUUGAACUCCCCAACUGUAUUUAUCCAUUCUUUCAUUCCAUUUAUUCAUCAAACAUAACCUGAGUACCUGUUAUGUAGCAGACAUAUUCUGCUAUCUCUCAGGCCCCUUCUAUCCUUAAAAACUUCAUGUUUACCUGCCCUGCCUGCACAAGCUGAGAGAUUUAAAAUAGGAAUAUUGGGACUGAAUCUCCUUGAAACUUUGUCACCCAGCUUUCAAACAAAAGCAUUUCUGAAGUUAGAAAAUAGUAGAAGAUAAGCUUUAACUGCCCACUCAAAAGUUUAUCAGUCUUAAAUACUAAUAUUAAUCAUGGGAAUGUCUUAUUUGCAUAUAUUCUGUAAGCAUAAAUAUUGAAUAAAAUGAGCCAUAUGUAUUCAUUUGAAUCAUGAGUUUCCUUUGUCUUCAAUUUGUUUGAAAAUCAAGGAAUUAAUUUGUUUGAAAAAUGCAUUAUUAUUAUUUCAGUGUUCUAUCCCCAUAGUACCUUUAAGCAGGCAGACAAGCCAGCAACCUCACCCACUCAAGGAAGCCCAGAUGGCCAGGUUCCAACAGCAUGAGUAGCUGCCACCUGAUGGCUGAUGGAGCAAAGUCCUGAGGAAAAGCAGAUGGCACUGGGGCCCUAAAUCUAGGGCAGAAGAACUGAUGUACUGUGACUGGCAGCAUGUGAGGUUGGUGAUUGGCCCACCUGUUCCUGGCACACCCUUGCAGAGGUGGCUGGUUGCUCUUUGAGCCAGCUUGGCCUUGCCUGGCAUGCACAAGCCUCGGUGCAACAACCGUGCUACAAAUGGAGCCAUAUAUAGGAAAGGAGCAGGAGGCUCAGGAGCAGGGUGUGCACUGCCUUUGGGGCUCCAGUGCAUGCCUCAGGGCUCCUAUGGCACUGCAGGCUUCUUUGUUGCCAAGAGGCAGACCACAGGCCAUCUUGAGGAAGACUUUAUGUACAAGUGCAGAAAGCAGCCAGGAUUACCACCUUACCACCCAGGGGACUCGGUCUUCUGUGGUCCUGGCCUGACAGAAUUUGUCCCAAGGCAGGACAAGGUCACUCCGAGCAGUGUGUCAGUAGGUGGGGCCUCUGCAUGCGAGGCAAGCACAAGCCUCGCUGCAACAAGUGUGCUACAAAUGGAGCCAUAUUGAGGAAAUGAUCAGCAGGCUCAGGAACGGGGCGUGCACUGCCUUUGUGGCUCCAGUCCAUGCCUCAGGGCUCAUAUGGCACUGUAGGUUUCUUGGUCGCCAACAGGCAGACCACAGGCUUUCUUGAGGAGGACUUU